UGUUAAAAUCGCGUAAAAAGUGUCCAUAACAACAAAAAGUCUAAAAACUACUAAAAAACGUUAUAGAAAUAUGUUAUUCCAAGUUCACAUCGACUUUUCCCUUGAUAGCGCAGUGUCUUGAGCAGUGAUAUGGGAAGGAAACAUUUAUGAUCAAGGCAGAUUCGGCACAGAAUCAAAUAUGCAGAUGAUAUUGGUUGCUGGGGGGUCAUUACCCAAAUUAUACAAUCCGGAGGAGGAACAGAAUCGACCACCCCAAGGGGGAGUGGUGACGUUCGAACCAAUCCAGCACGAUCACGACUAUUGCGAGCGGGUCGUUAUAAACGUAAGCGGACUUAAGUUCGAAACCCAACUACGCACCCUCAACCAAUUCCCUGAAACUCUUCUCGGCGACCCUACACGACGCAUACGCUAUUUUGAUCCUUUAAGGAACGAAUACUUCUUCGACAGAAACAGACCAUCUUUCGACGCCAUUCUGUAUUACUACCAAAGCGGAGGUCGCUUGCGACGCCCCGUAAAUGUACCUCUUGACGUGUUCUCUGAAGAAAUCAAAUUCUACGAACUUGGUGAACAAGCUACCAACAAAUUCCGGGAGGACGAAGGAUUCAUCAAGGAGGAGGAGAAGCCCCUGCCCGCCAAUGAGCGCCAGCGCAAAAUCUGGCUGCUCUUUGAGUACCCCGAGAGCUCCCAGGCGGCGCGAGUUGUGGCCAUCAUCUCCGUUUUCGUAAUCCUACUCUCCAUUGUCAUCUUCUGCCUGGAGACCCUGCCGGAGUUCAAGCACUACAAAGUUUUCAACACCACCACCAACGGCACCAAGAUCGAAGAGGACGAAGUGCCCGAUAUCACCGAUCCCUUCUUCCUCAUCGAGACCUUGUGCAUAAUUUGGUUUACAUUCGAGUUGAUAGUGCGCUUCCUAGCUUGUCCGAACAAAUUUAAUUUCUUCAGAGACGUCAUGAAUAUAAUAGAUAUCAUUGCUAUUAUUCCCUACUUCAUCACCCUUGCUACUGUCGUUGCCGAAGAAGAGGACACCUUAAACUUGCCACGCGCGCCCGUCUCACCACAAGACAAGUCCACCAACCAAGCUAUGAGUCUCGCCAUACUCCGUGUGAUUCGCCUGGUGCGAGUCUUCAGGAUCUUUAAACUGUCUCGCCACUCCAAGGGUCUUCAGAUCCUUGGACGUACUCUCAAGGCAUCUAUGCGGGAACUCGGACUUCUAAUAUUCUUCUUGUUCAUCGGUGUGGUGCUGUUUUCCUCCGCGGUGUACUUCGCUGAAGCCGGAAGCGAGAACAGCUUCUUCAAAUCCAUACCAGAUGCGUUUUGGUGGGCGGUGGUGACUAUGACGACCGUAGGAUACGGAGACAUGACGCCUGUUGGCGUGUGGGGCAAGAUCGUGGGGUCGCUGUGUGCGAUCGCUGGCGUACUCACUAUUGCGCUGCCCGUUCCAGUCAUCGUGUCCAACUUCAAUUACUUCUAUCAUCGGGAGACUGAUCAGGAGGAGAUGCAGUCACAAAACUUCAACCAUGUCACCAGCUGCCCCUAUUUGCCUGGUACUAUGGGGGAGCCUUACCUGAUUUCAGGCCCGAUCCAAAAGAAGUCCUCGGUGAGUGACGAAUCAUCUUCGGACACGAUGGAGCUGGACGAGAGCGCGCUGGUGGCGGACUCGCAGCUGGAGGAGAACCUGACGCGGCUGCGUGAGGAGGAGCGCCUGUUGCUCGAGCAGCAAGCCGCCAUGGAGGCCGGCAACACUGACGACAUCGCUGCCCUCGAAAACCAGGACGCUCUUCGCUAUAACCAGCUGCAACAGCUGCAAGUACAGAAACAGCAGAAGGCGCAGGCGCAGUGGCUGGCGCGGCAGCAGUCGCAGGCGCAAGGUCAGGCUGCGGGCCAGUCUUCGGGCCAGGCUGCGGGUCAGGCGCAGGCUCAGGCACCUGAGCGCUCGCUCGGCGCCAGGCCCCGCGACAACCGUGACACCCGCGACACUCGCGACAUAUGCGAGUACCGCGAGUGCCGCGAGCUGCGCGAGGGCCCGCGCCGCCGCGCUGCGUGCAAUGUGCGCGUCAACAACCUGCACUCCGCCUCUGCUGCCCCCGACGCCAUCGAGACAGAUGUCUGACCAUUAGGUAAGCAGACACCCUACACACACUUACAUUAUCAAUCAUAGAACGCGAAGUUAUCACAUAUCACAAGCUAAUCUCAAAUCAAAUACGUUUGCAACUAAUAUACUUAUUUCAGGAAUAUCCAGGGUAUAUUUAUUUAACAUAAUACACCUCCACAGCAAAAGUCGUUACUUAAUUCCUACCAUUAGAUUUUAUUUUUAUUUAUCCACUCAAGUUCAGGUACAUUUCUAAAAUCUUCGGCAACUGCACAGACUAGUGUUAUCAUACGAACAACCUCCAUUCAUACCGGAACACAGCUUUUGAUCGCUGUCUUAAAUGAAACCUGAUCCAGCAAUUCAUCUAAGCUGGCCAUCUUCGCAACAUUUCUAGCCGGGUACCUUCAUUGUAUGUUAAGUUGCUACCAAGUCGAUCAUCAAGGUAAUCUGUUACACGUAUUUCAUAUUAUUUAAGAAGAUUGGUACCAUGAACAUUCACUUAUUUUCCUGAUGCACAAAAGCGUCAAUCAAAAUAACAUCGAUUCCAUUUCUAUAGUUUGAUUUACAGAGAAGUUGGCCUAUUUUAAAGUAGUAGACGUAAAUUGGUUAAUGAAGUUUAAGUAAAAGCAUUUAAUUAUUAUAGUAUAACGAAAAUGAGGAUUCACUAGACUUUUCUAAUAAUUUACCGUGGUAUCAUUUCGAAUCAUUUGUUAAUACAUGUUCCCAAUAUUAAUGCAUUUUUAUUUGUUUAUUAGUUUCUGUUCAAAUACAUCAUUACUCGGGACAUUAGAGGAAGAAAGCGGGCCGGCGCGAGGGCGCGCACGAGCUCGUUGAGCUGCAGGAGCCGGCGCUGUCGGUGUGGCGUGGCCGGCUGGCGGCGCGCUCACCCCGCUCCCCGCCCGCCUGCCGUGUCUAAACUCUACGCUGUGGAAUACACGUUCGGCACUCGCGAGCGGCUUUCGGCUAAACCGUCAAAAGUGCUGUACCCAAUUAACCCGUGAGGCGCGCGUGAAUUGGUAUACCCAAAUAUCCAAUCAGGCGUGCGUGAGUUGGUGUACCGGGCUAACCCGUCUGACGUGUGUAGGCAGCCGUUUUGUAGCCGCAUGUAGCUCGCCCGCUUCCUCGCAGCGCCGUACUAGUCCUCAGUGUACCCGUGAAGUAAUGAACAUGAACAAUGGUUUAAAUACAUGUCAUAAAUUAUAAUCAAAUAUGAUAUUAGCGUCAGUGUUUAAAAAUACCGUAAAAUUUCCUUAAACAGCUUUUCGGCAGAUUAUAAAAAUUGUAAAUAUAUGAAUAUAUAUAUACUGUCUGCUUAUGUAUUGCUUUAAAACACUUUCUGCAUUUAAUCACAAAGGUAAAUUUAGAAAAAAUCAAACAAUGUUAAAUGGAAAUAGGCCUAGUUUAUCAUUUGUUCGUAGUUUUCAAAAUAAUCACAUGCAAUAGACUAAUGUUCAAAAUGUAAAUGUAGAGUAUGGUAUAUAUGUUAAAAGACGCAAGGCUGCGCGACGCAGCGACGAUCGCCCCCCGCCGGCAGGCAUACUACGCCCUGGCGCGGGCGCGGCGAACCUCUAUUACGACAACUUAAACAUGGAUUAACCUCCACACGCCGAUACUAAGAAGAAAAAUGCGGCACUGCUAGCGGUACAAUAUGUCUUGCAUAUUUUGCAAACAGUACACUAGAAUUGUCCUACUGAAAUUACAGAUACAUUUGAUUUGCAACAUUGCUGAGCGAUUAUUCAUAUACAGCACGCGAUGCUCUAAUUCGCUUAUGCGGUUCUUAAAGUACGCCCUACCGAUAGGGCCCUACCUGAACCGUACAACUUGUGCGGUAGCUUUCUGUUGCUCAGAAUGUUGUUUUAGAAUGUAUCUGACUUUCAGUUCCGAGCCUGACGCGGUAAGUACCGCAUUAAAACAUUUACAACGUUACACAGGCUCGGAAAAUAAAAUCGUAGUUAUAAGUUAUUUAUGUUGUAUGUUGUAAAAUAUCUGUAUGUAUCAAUAUUCAGUAAUAUACACAAAGUUAAAUGUAGCAGCCUCGGAUCUAGCGCAAGCGCUAGAACUGUUUAUAGGUAGUCCGUAAACAUCGAUGUUGUCCAUCAGUUUAUAAAUCUCUAUAUGUUAAUCAUUAAGCAAAGUAUGUACGGUUGUGAGUCAUCUAGGCCAGCGACAGAAUUGAGUAAGACAAGAGAUCGCAUACUGAAAUUAAAAGACUGAAGUAAUACUUAUGCACAGCUGACGAGUACAGUCGUUGUCAGAAGUGUAAGCGUAGAGAGUGCACGCAAUGUCACUGUACUCCCGUGUACUGUGCCACCUUCUCAGUCACCACCACCACCAGUCGAAUGCAUGUAGAGCUGUCGCUGAGACAAAGAACUGUGUUUAUUAACUUUUAAAAUUAUCUUAGAGACAUAUCCAGUAAGACGUGAUUUUAAUGUUAUAUUUGUUGUUAAAUGUUCGGUGUUCUUAGCGUAAUAUGAUUGUGUUUGAAGUCUUGUGCUUUAGCUUUAGCAUGCAUCACUCGGGGUUUCGACGUGUCAAUUCAUUACAAUGAGGUUCUGAGUGAUCGGCUAAAGUUGCAGUGCACGACCUGGAAUGACAAAUGUUGCGACGGAAAAAUAUGACGGGAAAUUAUGUAGGGCUAUAUACACACAGCAUUGCUCAAAACGGAUCUUAUUGAUUAUUGAUUUAUCUUUUAUAUUUUGUACUUUACCUUGAUUGACGUACCUAAAUCAAAAUACAGACAUUAGACCAAAUCUUUACCUCGCAAAUAUUUAAAUCAGACUUACUCCGAUAGGGAUCAAUUGUUAAAUUUGAUCAACCGAGAAAUAAAACUUGUCGCCUUUUAGCAUCGACGCCGGCAUAAGCCGGACACGCUUUAUAGCUCCAAUUCCAAGCGAUUGUCUUUUUGGAAACAUUUUUAUCAUUUUAUUAAAUAAAUAACUUUUUAUAUUUAAGUGGCAUUAACGCGUUAAGUUCAUAUUUUCGUACACAUUUUGCCAACAUUGGUUCAAAGGUCCGUCCAACAGCGCACGCAUAUAGUUUUAAAAUCAAUAUGAACAUUGGAAGUAUAAACCUUCCGCGCCAUUUCAUCGCAUUGGGGCUUGGCCACCCGAAACCCCGACAGCCGACACUACAUUUGCCCUCAUAAUUGUGACCCGAUUUCGUGGAGAGGACUGAUCGUAGAUUUAUUUCAAUGUAUCAAUCGGUGUUAGUUGUUAUAAUACAUUUGAAAUAAUUGUCAUCAUAUCAUUAAUACACAUUUCAUAGCGUAUAACAUUUAGGUAAAAGACAUUAUAUUUAUCUCAUAUAUGUAAAUUAGAGUAGGACAGUAGUUACUAAUUAAUGUAGACUAAAUCCUCUUUUCGUUUACGUUUCAUGCGGAUUCUAUUAUAAAGUAGAGGAGCAUGGCAAAGUAAAUAGAUGUAACUAUAUAAUGCGUGUCAUAACGUUUCCAUUAUAAGUAUGAUAACGUCACAAACGAUUAAGAUACAUUAUUACGGCCUUCGUCAGGCCGCUCGGACAUAUUCUGACACCGGGUUGACGAAGGGCAGCGGCAUUGGGCAGGGUGUCGUGUAGAGGAUGGCAGCGGAUGAGCUGCAGCCAACGGUGGCAUCCUAAGCCCCAGUUAGCAAGAGGGGUUACUGCCUUGGUGACAAAUUAUAUUGACACUUUUGUCUGCACAGCAUUUUAGAUACAUCUAUUUUAAUUGCGCAAAUAUCUUUAAACAUUCCUUAUUGAUUAUUGAUGUUCAAAUAUAUAUGUGUACUUUACUAUGUAGUUUAAAUGUCAAUGGUAAUUAAUGGUUAUUAUUGGAAGUAAUGCACCUUUUACGUGUGCCCGAAGUUAACGCACUCUAAAGUUGUCUAUACAACAUAUCUUGUCAAACAAUAAUUACACAGAUUCGUUAUUAUAUUACGGCCAGGUAAAAUGAGCAUUAUUUUUUCAGUUACUGAUGUUAUUGUGGGACAAAUAAUAUCAAAAUCCAUAAAGCAAUAUCAUAUUACAAAUGAUCUUGAAUUUGGUAUAUUGUUCUCAAACAAGAUUGGGCCUUGAGGGGCUCAAAUAAGACCCUGCGAGGGUGUAUAGGGGACAGUUGAUGAUGAACCAGUGACAUUUUAAAAAGGAUCUAUUACGAAAAUAUUGCGAUUCUUUGGUAUACAAUAAUGAAACCAAGCGCGUUAUUUGUACCACAAUAAUUAUUCAGAAAUUGAAAUUAGAAACAGGUAUCCGAGGCUGUUGCAGUAAACCGUUAAUUAAUUUGAUGUCAUAUUGUAAUCGUAGUGAAUUCAUGUGGUGUUUGUUGUUUUAAAUCAAGUGGGUCCCGAUGACUUAGCGACAAUGCAACAAUCAAACCCUUCUUCAAACCUUUCGAAGUAAUUGAACAUAGUUGAUGUGCAUUUACUUAGUAGAUUGUUGUCGACAGUUUACAUUUUGUUUAUUACUUUUGUAUUUUCCUAACAAUAGGAAUACAAACAAUUAACGUUUGGUAUCUAACAUAUCGCUACGAUGUUAAUUAAAAAUAUCGAGGUCAUAAGAUCUUGCUGUAUAGCAAACACUGAGUAAAAAAAAUAGCAAAUGCCACUAGAUUUCUCAAUAAAUUUCAAUAAAGAGUACGGUUUUGCUUCGGCUUCGAUGAAAUAUACAUGAGAUAUUUAGAAUUAAUCGUGAAUUACUCAUGUUGGCCAAAAUUUUAGAUACGCCGUAUACGCGUUUAAGGCGUAUUAUGAUUUUCACUCAGUAUUAUUAGUUGAUAUUGCAUGAAACUUUACGAUUGUCUUAAAAAGGUAAGUCAUCAAGGACCCCGUUAUAAUAUUAAACGAUCUGUAAUUAUCACUACACUUGAGGCACAUGAAGACGCUGUAAAACAUAACAAACAUGAAAGAUAGAGGCAAUCGAUUCGUUUGUAGAUUUGUUAAAUACCUAUAUAAAGAUCCUUGUGCAUAGAAAUGUCUGACAACUUGCUACGAUCAAGUUUCCACAAGUCAUGGGAUUUCAUGUUAAAAGUGUAGUGGGAAUUAUUAGAUUUAGUAAUAACAAUAUAUGUAACUGUGUAAUCAUGUAGCCAGCUAACCUUCUAAGAGAAUCUUGUUUUGAGUUUUCAUUCUUUACUGUUUCUUUGAUAAACUUGCCAUUACUUAGUUGUUUACUACAUAGUUUAUGUUGAUGGAAACACAUAUACUUCUAUUCGAGUAAUAUUUUUUAGUUAGGGUGGAAUUGGCAAAAAAAUUAAUAUGUAAAGUCUGACGAUAUUACUUUUGACUUAUCGGCUAUAUGUAAUAUGGUCUUUAGGAUCAACAGUAACUAUGUAAAUUUAAUUUGUCUCACUAUGUAUAGUUAGGGGAUGUUUGCAGACGUUAUUGGCAGAUGCUAUGUAGCGUACGUAUUUCGUGUACUUUGUUUUGUUUGCGAGUGCACACUCGGAGAGCGCAGGGAAGCACGAUCGUAUGAAUUCCGAAACGCAAAUGGGAUCAGCAUCUUACGUUACUCGAUUUAAUUAUCAUUAAACAGCUUAUAUCAUAAUUCGAUUACAUUUUUUUAACUAUAACUUAAACAGUAAAUUACAAUAAAAAAAAGCGUCAAUUCGCUUUUCUACAAAAAGUUCCGCAAAUUUUGACUAACUUUGAUAAUAGGUAUAAUUUUUCGUUAUCACUUGUCCCCUCUCCGUCCAGGUAAAAGCGUGUUCAUAAUAUAUUUGAAUAUAAACACAAAAUUCACUUUUAUUCUAUUAAGCAUCGAUUAAGUGAUUAAAUAUAUCUUCCUAUAAUAAUAAUUAAAUUUUAAAGAAUGUAAAUCUACUUAUAAUCAUUGGAGUUUUUGGCAGUGACGUCAUACGGUGCGGCGCGACGAAAGCCGUGCUCGUCUUUGUCAUGAAAUAAUCUUAUCCAAUUUAAUCGUGCUGGAUACGCUGAAGUUUUGCUAAAACGAGCUUAGGCAUUUGAAUUCAAAUUAACAUAUUCGAAUUUUAAACAAUUUACUUAUAAUUUAGGAUAAAGGGCUGGGGUUCAACGGACCUUUGCCUUCCAUCGUCAUUAUGCGUAAUUUUUAAAUAAGAUUUUCUAAUGAUAAGAGCUUUUCGAAUAGUAUACUAAAAUAUGAGGUCUUAUGAAAUCACCUAACUUUUGCAGCAUGUUUUAUUAAACUAAUAUCCAUCCAAUAUUGAUAGAUGUUAAAUGUAUUGGUCGAAGGCGUUUCUAACUCGUAUACAAUAUAAUGUCGUAUAUAUUACAAGUUUUUUUUUUAU